rnacentral:rRNA from 1 species
CUCAACACGGGAAAACUUACCAGGUCCGAACAUAAGCGUGUAAGACAGAUUGAUAGCUCUUUCUCGAAUCUAUGGGUGGUGGUGCAUGGCCGUUCUUAGUUCGUGGAGUGAUUUGUCUGGUUAAUUCCGAUAACGAACGAGACUCAAAUAUAUUAAAUAGAUGCUUUCAGGAUUAUGAUGUGAAGCUUGUAUAGCCUUCAUUCAUGCGUGCAUCUUUGAAUGUGCAAAUGUUUGAAUGUGUUUAUAUAAGUGGAGUCGUACCUGUUGGUUUGUCCCAUUAUAAGGACACUAGCUUUUAAAUGGACA